rnacentral:rRNA from 1 species
UGAAAGAGCAAUGAAAUAAGUCAUUAAAGCAUAAAAAAGCAGAGACUAAAACUCGUACCUUUUGCAUCAUGAUUUAGCAAGCAUUCAACAAGCAAAGAGACCUUUAGUUUGUUACCCCGAAACCAAGUGAGCUACCCCGGGACAGCCUAAAAGGGCCAACCCGUCUCUGUGGCAAAAGAGUGGGAAGAGCCCCGGGUAGAGGUGAUAGACCUACCGAACUUGGUGAUAGCUGGUUGCCUAAGAAAUGAAUAGAAGUUCAGCCUCAUGCCCCCUUCAGUCAUAUAAGUAAUAUCUAGGCUAGAUAUAAGAGAAGCAUGAGAGUUAGUUAAAGGGGGUACAGCCCCUUUAACCAAGGAUACAACUUUAUCAGGAGGAUAGGGAUUAUAAUUAAAAAAAUCUAUUGUUUCAGUGGGCCUAAAAGCAGCCAUCUGUUC